CCUACGGGAGACAGCAGUGGGGAAUAUUGGGCAAUGGGCGCAAGCCUGACCCAGCAACGCCGCGUGAAGGAAGAAGGCUUUCGGGUUGUAAACUUCUUUUGUCAGGGAAGAGUAGAAGACGGUACCUGACGAAUAAGCCACGGCUAACGACGUGCCAGCAGCCGCGGUAAUACGUAGGUGGCAAGCGUUGUCCGGAUUUACUGGGUGUAAAGGGCGUGUAGCCGGGUUGACAAGUCAGAUGUGAAAUCCUGCGGCUUAACCGCAGAACUGCAUGUGAAACUGUUGAGCUUGAGUACUGGAGAGGCAGACGGAAGUCCUAGUGUAGCGGUGAAAUGCGUAGAUAUUAGGAGGAACACCAGUGGCGAAGGCGGUCUGCUGGACAGCAACUGACGGUGAGGCGCGAAAGCGUGGGGAGCAAACAGGAUUAGAUACCCCGGUAGUC
rnacentral:rRNA from 1 species